UGGGGAAUAUUGCACAAUGGGCGCAAGCCUGAUGCAGCCAUGCCGCGUGUAUGAAGAAGGCCUUCGGGUUGUAAAGUACUUUCAGCGGGGAGGAAGGGAGUAAAGUUAAUACCUUUGCUCAUUGACGUUACCCGCAGAAGAAGCACCGGCUAACUCCGUGCCAGCAGCCGCGGUAAUACGGAGGGUGCAAGCGUUAAUCGGAAUUACUGGGCGUAAAGCGCACGCAGGCGGUUGUUAAGUCAGAUGUGAAAUCCCCGGGCUCAACCUGGGAACUGCAUCUGAUACUGGCAAGCUUGAGUCUCGUAGAGGGGGGUAGAAUUCCAGGUGUAGCGGUGAAAUGCGUAGAGAUCUGGAGGAAUACCGGUGGCGAAGGCGGCCCCCUGGACGAAGACUGACGCUCAGGUGCGAAAGCGUGGGGAGCAAACAGG
rnacentral:rRNA from 1 species